UUGUUUAGUCUCCUGGGCAUCCAUCGGCUCACCGAUGGGCGUUCAGGAGAUACUGGCAACCUAGGGACCGGGAGAGGUGAGAGGUACUCCAGGGGUAGGAGUGAAAUCCUGUAAUCCUUGGGGGACCACCUGUGGCGAAGGCGUCUCACUAGAACGGCUCCGACAGUGAGGGACGAAAGCUGGGGGGGCAAACCGGAUUAGAUACCCGGGUAGUCCCAGCUGUAAACGAUGCGCGUUAGGUGUAUCGGUGACCACGAGUCACCGAGGUGCCGAAGAGAAAUCGUGAAACGUGCCGCCUGGGAAGUACGGUCGCAAGGCUGAAACUUAAAGGAAUUGGCGGGGGAGCACCACAACAGGUGGAGCCUGCGGUUUAAUCGGACUCAACGCCGGGAAGCUCACCGGAUAAGACAGCUGAAUGAUAGCCGGGUUGAAGACUCUGCUUGACUAGCUGAGAGGAGGUGCAUGGCCGUCGUCAGUUCGUACUGUGAAGCAUCCUGUUAAGUCAGGCAACGAGCGAGACCCACGCCAACAGUUGCCAGCAUGUCCUCCGGGAUGGUGGGGACACUGUUGGGACCGCCUCUGCUAAAGAGGAGGAAGGAAUGGGCAACGGUAGGUCAGCAUGCCCCGAAUUAUCCGGGCUACACGCGGGCUACAAUGGUCAGGACAAUGGGUAUCGACACCGAGAGGUGGAGGCAAUCUC
rnacentral:rRNA from 1 species